rnacentral:rRNA from 1 species
GUAGUCAUAUGCUUGUCUCAAAGAUUAAGCCAUGCAUGUCUAAGUAUAAGCAAUUAUACCGCGAAACUGCGAAUGGCUCAUUAAAUCAGUUAUCGUUUAUUUGAUAGUACCUUACUACUUGGAUAACCGUGGUAAUUCUAGAGCUAAUACAUGCUAAAAAGCCCGACUUCGGAAGGGUUGUAUUUAUUAGAUUAAAGACCAAUGCCCUUCGGGGCUAAAAGGUGAUUCAUAAUAACUUCUCGAAUCGCACGGCCUUGCGCCGGCGAUGGUUCAUUCAAAUUUCUGCCCUAUCAACUUUCGACUUUAGUGUAGUGGACUAAAAUGGUUACAACGGGUAACGGGGAAUGGGGCGGGGGCGGCGGGCCGGGCGCGGGGCGCGGCGGGCG